GCCGGUGUGGCGGAAUUGGCAGACGAGUGCGACUUAAAAUCAUGAGGGAAACCGUGGAGGUUCAAGUCCUCUCACUGGCA
rnacentral:tRNA from 1 species